rnacentral:lncRNA from 1 species
GAUCUGAAAAAGAAAUAAAAAACAUAAUCCUAUUUACAAUAGCCAUAAUUAAAAUUAAAUACCUAGAAGUCAUUUAAAACAAAGGGUGAAAGAUCUCUGUAAUGAAAACUAUAAAACAGUGAUGAAAGAAAUUGAAGAGGACACCAAAAAAUUAACAGAGAUUCCAUGUUCAUGGAUUAGCAGUCUACCAAAGCAGUCUAAAGAUUUAAUUCAAUCCCUAUCAAAAUACCAAUGGCAUUCUUCACAGAAAUAGAAAAAAAAUCCUAAAAUGUAUAUGGAAUCCCAAAUUCUCAAAUGGCCAAUGCUAUCCUAAGCAAAAAGAACAAAACUAGAGGAGUCACAUUACCUGAUUUCAACUUAUACUACAGAGCUAUAGUAAACAGAACAGCAUGAUACUGGCAUAAAAACAGAAACACAGACCAAUGGAACAGAUAGAGAACCCAGAAACAAAUCCACACACCUACCAUAAACUCAUUUUUGACAGGAGUACCAAGAACAUACACUGGGAAAAAGACAGUCUUUUCAAUAAAUGGUGCUGGGAAAACUUGAUAUCCAUAAGAAAAAGAAUGACACUAGAUCCCUAUCCCUCACCAUGUACAAAAAUCAAAUCAAAAUGAAUUGAAAACUUAAACCUAAGACCUCAAACUAUGAAGCUACUACAAGAAAACAUUGGGAGGGUCAGGCAUGGAGGCUCCUGCCUGCAGUUCCAGCACUUUGGGAGGCAGAGGCAGAAUUCCUUGAACCUAGGAGUUCAAGAUCAGCCUGGGCAAUGUGGUGAGAUUUGGUCUCUACAAAAAAUACAAAAAUUAGUUGGGCAUGAUGGCAUGUGACUGUAGUCCCAGCUACUCAGAAGGCUGAGGAGGGAGGGUUGCUUCAGCCUGGGAGGUCAAUGCUGCGGUGAGCUAUGAUCCUGCCACUGCACUCCUGCCUGGGCAACAGAGCAAGACCUUCACAAGAAAUAUUAAAAAAAAAAAGAAAGAGAGAGAGAAAGGAAACAUUGAGGAAAGUUUCCAGGACAUUUGUCUGGGCAAACAUUUCUUGAGCAAUACCCCACGAGCACAGGGAACCAAAGGAAAAAUAAACAGAUGGGAUCACAUCAAGUUGAAAAGCUUCUGCACAGCAAAGGAUACAAUCAACAAAGUGAAGAAACAACCCACAGAAUGGAAGAAAAUAUUCGCAAACUACCCAUCUGACAAGGGAUUAAUAACCAGGGUAUAUAAAGAGCUCAAACAAUGCUAUAGGUAAACAUCUAAUAAUUAGAUAAAACAUGGGCAAAAGAUUCAAAUAGACAUUUCUUAGAAGAACACACACAAAUGACAAACAGGCAUAUGAAAAGGUGCUCAACCUCACUAGUCAUCAGAGAAAUUCAAUCACAACUACAAUGAGAUAUCUGACCCCAGUUAAAAUGACUUAUAUCCAAAAGAUGAGCCAAGACAAAUGCGGGCAAGGAUGGAGAGAAAAGGGAACCCCCAUACACUGUUGGUGGGAAUGUAAAUUAAAACAACCACUACGGAGAACAGUUUGGAGGUUCCUCAAAAAACUAAAUAUAGAGCUGCCAUAUGAUCCAACAAUCCCACUGCUGGGUAUAUACCCAAAAGAAAAAUCAGUAUAUCACAGAGGUAUCUGCACUCCCAUGUUUGUUGUAGCACUGUUUAUAAUAGCUAAGAUUUGGAAGCAACCUAAGUGUCCAUCAACAGAUGAACAUAUAAAGAAAAUGUGGUAAAUAUACACAAUGGAGGACUAGUUCACCGCAAAAAAAGAAUGAGAUCCAGUCAUUUGUAACAACAUGAAUGUAACUAGAUGUUAAAUGAAAUAAGCCAGGCACAGAAAGACAAACAUCACAUGUUCUCACUUAUUUUGGGAUGUAAAAAUCAAAGCAAUUGAACCCAGGGACAUAAAGAGUAGAAGGAUGCUGUCCAGAGGCUGAGAAGGAUAGUAGGGGGUUUGGGAGGUGGUAGGGAUGGUUGAUGGAUACAAAAAAAAAAAAAAACAGAAAGAAUGAGUGAAACCUAAGAUUUGAUAGCAAAACAGGAUGACUGUAGUCAAUAAUAAACUAUAUAUUAAAAAAUAACUAAAAGAGUUUAAUUGGAUUGUUUGUAAUGCAAAGGAUAAAUGCUUGAAGGGAUGGGUACUCAUUUUCCAUGAUGUGAUUAUGACACAUUGCAUACCUGUAUCAAAAUAUCUCAUGUAUCCCAUAAAUAUAUAUGCUUACUAUGGACACACAAAAAUUAAAAAUAAAAGAAAUCUUAAAGUGCAUACAACAGUAUCUGACACAUAUCAAACAAGUUGUAAAUUCUAGCUAUUGUUUUUGCUGUUAUUUCUUUAAAGUAUAAUGAUUAUAGAUUUCUAUCUAUUUUCUUCUGUUAAUAGAUAAAUAAGGUAUAGUUUAUGGUAAGUAAGAGAGACAUGGAUUUAUAUAUUUAUAUCAUCUCAUGCAAUAUGGCAUUCUGAAAAUGUAGUAUUAAAAUGUAUUGGCAGAUAAUCUACCUGGGCC